UACGUAGGGGGCAAGCGUUGCUCGGAAUCACUGGGCGUAAAGCGCGCGUAGGCGGUUUGGUAAGUCUAUUGUGAAAGCUCCCGGCUUAACUGGGAGAGGUCAAUGGAAACUACCAGGCUGGAGUGCGGUAGAGGUAGCUGGAAUUCCCGGUGUAGCGGUGAAAUGCGUAGAUAUCGGGAGGAAUACCUAUGGCGAAAGCAGGCUACUGGACCGUCACUGACUCUGAUCUGCGAAAGCUAGGGGAGCAAACAGG
rnacentral:rRNA from 1 species